rnacentral:rRNA from 1 species
GAUGAACGCUGGCGGCGUGCCUAAUACAUGCAAGUCGAGCGAACAGACGAGGAGCUUGCUUCUCUGACGUUAGCGGCGGACGGGUGAGUAACACGUGGAUAACCUACCUAUAAGACUGGGAUAACUUCGGGAAACCGGAGCUAAUACCGGAUAAUAUUUUGAACCGCAUGGUUCAAAAGUAAAAGACGGUUUUGCUGUCACUUAUAGAUGGAUCCGCGCUGCAUUAGCUAGUUGGUAAGGUAACGGCUUACCAAGGCAACGAUGCAUAGCCGACCUGAGAGGGUGAUCGGCCACACUGGAACUGAGACACGGUCCAGACUCCUACGGGAGGCAGCAGUAGGGAAUCUUCCGCAAUGGGCGAAAGCCUGACGGAGCAACGCCGCGUGAGUGAUGAAGGUCUUCGGAUCGUAAAACUCUGUUAUUAGGGAAGAACAUAUGUGUAAGUAACUGUGCACAUCUUGACGGUACCUAAUCAGAAAGCCACGGCUAACUACGUG